GUGGCGCAGAAAGGCAAAGCGCCCUGCGUGCGCAUGCGUGGGAGAAGAAGCUGAGCCUAUGUUUUGCCCUCGGCCAUGGUCGUGUCCUCUGUCUCCCGCUUUGCGUCCAAAUACCGCCCAGCGCCUCUAGCGAGCUUGCCGCCUCAGCUGGACCCCAACGAAUACCAAUGGACCCCCGAGAAACGCCGCGCGGAAGCCGAGCGGGUCGCCCUCCGCUCCCGCAUCAAGCGCGACUACUUCCUGCGGCUCAAUGACCCUCGGCGGACGCAGCUCCUCGAAGAUCCUGCUGUAAUUCGUUGGGAUUAUGCCAGAAGGCAAAACGUGUAUCCUAGUUAUCGUUUUACUCCUAAAAGUUCCCUAUUGAGUCUUCUUUGGGGAGCAGGGCCCUUUGUUUUCUGGUAUUAUGUCUUGAAAACCAAUAGGGAUUAUAAAGAAAGACUCAAAUCAGAAGGCAGAUAUGACGAGGGAUUCCGUACUGGCUAUUAAGUCUAUGUGUGAAAAUUAUGUAUAAAAAUCUUGCUGGAGAAACUUUAUUUCUCUAUGGUGUGAAGGAAUUCUCACAGAAAUACUGCACUGUGCGGAGUAUUUUGAAUAAAAAUGUAACUGUACAAUUCUUCAGAUUCAGAAUUAUAAAGGGUCCAUGAAGAGGAUCCAAAAUGGUGACAAACUAGCAGCUUCGGAAAUAAGCUUUCAGUUGUACGUCUGGCUUAACCCAGCACUCCAAAAUGCCACACAAAGGCAAGAAAAGAACCACACAAGUCCUAACAAAGUUACUGGAACCCAUAAAUCUUAACAACCUAGAGUCAUAAAGUGCUUCGGAGUCAGCAACCUGUUGUUAAACCAGUAGGAUCCCACCCCUGCCGACCUGGGAUUUAACUCGGCACAAGUCCAGAUUACUUGAUGAACUGUCUCACCCCAUUGGAACAGACCCACCCACUUGCAUUGGCAGAGGAGGUAUGCUGUGGGCCCAGUCAGUCAGUCUGUCAAGGAAUCCCAGUUGGCACAGUCCAGGAGAAGAGUGGCUCCUGCCCUGUGGACCAUCGUGCCAUUUGAGAUGAGAUUGACUCCCUCUCUUCUGACCUUCUGUAAGGCCUGAAGACCUUGUUCUGCCAGAUGGCUUGAUGACCCAACGAGGGCAUCAUGCUGGAUGUGAUAGAUGAAUUAAGAGGCAAUCCCACUUUCUCCUCCUGCACAUCCUGUUCCUUCCAUUUUUAACUAUAAUUCUAUUUUUCAUUGUAUUUUUCUUGUCUUAAAAAUAUUUUUCUUUUAUGAUUUUAAUGUUUUUAAUGCUGUAAGCCACUCAGUCACUUUGAAACGGGAUGGGCAGGAAAUAAAGUUAAUAAAUAAAUGUGUGUAUAUUUCAGUCUGUAGCAAUAUAUAGCCCUAAUAAUCACCACUUUAAUUUGUUUGAUGGGCAUGGUAGUAAUUAGUCCGUAUAUAGAUCUUGUUCAAAAACAUGAAUUGACACAAUUAUAAUUCCUUUGUUUGCAUCCAUUUUUUUCUGUAUAGUUAUUUCAUAUACAACCCAGGAUAAGCUGCCAUGUGGAAAUACCUCUUGAAAGCUUAGCAGUGUGUGAAUAAAUGUUAUCAACAUUUAUCCCUGCUAUCCCUAAACAAAUUAUUCUAGCCUAUCUAGCUCUUUCCUAACGGCUAUCAGAAAGGCAGCAUCUCAACUCUACUUGAGUUGCACUUGCAACAACCCCUUACAAAAGUAGAUCCCUCAUUCUCACAUUCUGGGAAGAGAGUCUGCAUCAGUGCCCUCUGGCUGCCAUCUGGAGUACAUUUUAAUCUCCAAUCCAACCAUGUAGGUGUCAAUUUCCGUGUUGAUAUUCCACGCAUAACGUCGGCAGAGCUGGAUCUCAGAUUACAGUAGCUGGUUUGAGACGUGUGUAUUUAUUGGGUAACGUGAUUUAUGACACAGAGUGAGGGGAGGAAAGGAAGAGGGGCAAAGUUCAGAAGCAGAUAGACAAAGCGAAAGAAAUGUCUGCGAAUAAGAAUUGCCUAAUGAAGCUGUUAAUAAAUUGCUAGUUUUUGUAUAAGAGACAUUGGCUCUUAUUAUGUGUUCGUUACAGCAUCAUUAGGAACAUUUACAGUAAGUCUCCAUUCAAUGUUCUUGCCCAGCCUCAAAGUCACUUCUCACAGCAUCAGUUCUAGCUAAUUGUCCAGUGCUGGAAUGCAUUGCAGAAAGUUUUGGGGAAUGGUUUUUGCAGUCCUUGUCUUGAUCUGGCCCAUUUUCAAUUGUUACCUGUGUCUUUCCUCCAUCUCCAACCCUACACUUGACCCUGUUCUGUUUUGGAGUUAUCUUAUUGACAAGCAAAAUUGUAAUCCCCUUCACCUAAUCUUUUCCUCAAGUUCUACUAGGCUGGAAAGAAUUUUAAAAAGGGACACAUAAUAGAAAAUGUAAAAAUCAAGUAAUUAAGAAUACAUACAGGUGGCCUAGAUUUGUAGAUGCUCUCAUGAAAGCUAAAAGUCAGAACCUCUUAGAUUACCAAAGGAUGCUAGGAUGCAACAAAAAAGACUCCUUCAGAUACAUUUAAAAUAAUAAAAUAGGAAAAAAAAUUGUAUUCCAGUGAACAAAAUUCAAAGUAAUUUGUGGUAAUAAAGUAGAACUGUUUAGUUCCUAUUUUAGCUUGAUCUUUCCAGCAAGAGAUUAUCUGUUUCACCAGCAAUUAUGAAAAGCAGGAAUUUAGCUGACGCUUAAUAGAAAUUUAAGGAACAUACACUAACCUUGAAUUAAUAAAAAAAUUCAAGAUUACAUGGACUGUAUCAUGUAUGAUAUCUUUUCUCUCUCCACAUCCCCCCAUUGCAUUUCAGUCUGCCAUUCAGACUCUGUCUUUCUCCUUUUGCUUGCCUGAUCCUUUCCAAUCCAUCUUUUCUGCAACUUUGGGCCACAGCACCUUUUUCCUCUGAAUUUUGAUUUACUGUUUCAGCAAACCAUAUAAGUUUCAAGAAGAACCAAAAAUAUGCUGUUUCUCUUUUUUACUCCCCUUAUCCCCAUUCUUCUUCCUAUCCUCUGCUUUUUCCUAAAACAAAGUGAACUAGUAGUCCUGAAAAUGAGCCUUGUGAAUUAAUAGCAUUCUUUACUGAUUAAACAAAUUACAGCUAUUUUCCUGGUUUUCUUUUGCAAAGAAGAUAGGCAGAAGAAAUAUCUGCUAUAUUUUGCAGAAAAUUAAACUGAACAUAAGCAUAUACAUUGUUCUCCAAAUGAGAAAUUUUGUAUCCUUCCCUAAAUGGAAAUUUCUCACUCUUGAGCU